rnacentral:misc_RNA from 1 species
CAGAGCUGCUCUCAGAACUUGACAAUGUAAUGUCAGAUCCGCUUGAUGUUCCGCGGUCACCAUUUACCUCAGGAUUGUGGACGGAAUUGUUUAGUAGUCCAACUUCAUUCGAAUUGCUCUUAAUGUCUUCCGCUUCACUAUUGCUUAAGAGAGUGUUCAGAGUUCUAUUCCAGGUUUUGAUGUUUGCAUUUUCAGUUUCCUCCACAUCUCUUUGA